UACAGAGGGUGCGAGCGUUGUCCGGAAUCACUGGGCGUAAAGCGCACGUAGGCGGAUUGUUAAGUCAGGGGUGAAAUCCUGGAGCUCAACUCCAGAACUGCCUUUGAUACUGGCGAUCUUGAGUCCGGGAGAGGUGAGUGGAACUGCGAGUGUAGAGGUGAAAUUCGUAGAUAUUCGCAAGAACACCAGUGGCGAAGGCGGCUCACUGGCCCGGUACUGACGCUGAGGUGCGAAAGCGUGGGGAGCAAACAGG
rnacentral:rRNA from 1 species